UACGGAGGGUGCGAGCGUUGUCCGGAAUCAUUGGGCGUAAAGGCGCGUAGGUGGCGGACAAGCGUGCGGUGAAAGCUCGGGGCUCAACCCCGAGCGUGCACCCGAUACUGCCGGGCUUGAGGCAGGUAGGGGAGAGUCGGAAUUCCGAUGUGGUAGCGGUGAAAAUGCGCAGAUAUCAGGAGGAACACCGGUGGCGAAGGCGGAUCUCUGGGCCUGUCCUGACGCUGAGGCGCGAAAGCUAGGGGAGCGAACAGG
rnacentral:rRNA from 1 species